UUUUUUUUUUUAUUCUGACUUUUUCCCACUGUACUUCAAGAUUUUUUUUUUCCUCUGCCAUUUUUAACCUCUUCUGUUUAUUUUUAUUAUUUUCCCUCUCACUCUUACAUUAUGUUAUCUACAGUAGUGCUAUCAAUGCAAACUUCUCUAAUUGCCAGUUUUGGAGAGAUGAAUGCAAGACAAAUGACAGUACAAUGAUGAAUCUUUCUCACUUGCCAUUGGUCCUAAGAAGUAACCACCCCCUUAUUCACAGAACUGUAUCUUUGAUAACAGUGGUAAAUAUAUUCAUCAAAUUGUGUUCCUUGAAUAGCUCUUGUUCAUUUAGAGAAGGUCCACCUGUUUAUCAUUAGAAAAAUAUAGACCACUUAAUUUCCCACUUAUUAGGUAUUUCCCUCUGAAAUCAAAUUAUCACAAAGAUUAGCAUACAGGUGCAGAUUUGUAACAAAAAUGUAAGUUUAAUAAUCUUCAGUGUUGAGAGUAAGCACACACAUUUCAGUAUAGCCAAACCUUUCGCACUUUCUUCAUGUGUUUACAUUCUGAUGGUCUUGUGAAGAAUACCAGUGUCAUUGCACAACUCUAGAUGCAGUCCUUAGUGUAUUCUGUUACUCCCCAAACCUGUAUACUUACAUGCCUCCCUGUGGGCUGUUUGGCUGUGCUCCCCUAGGACAUAUCUACUUUCGAUUAAUAGUGGGUACCUGCCAUUUCUGUGUUAGCUGCUCACUUAAUGUCAACUAUGCGUGUUACUGUCAGAGCUAGAAUUUCCAUAUAUCCUAAACUGCACUGUCAAUGUCUUAGAGGAAACUGAAUGCUACACUAUCCUUUUUUACCUCAUCUAUUUCAUAUUAACACAUUAUACAAAAAGUACCUUAGUCUCCAGUGACAAUACCCUAUGUUGCAUUCUGUAAUUCAAGACCUCACAUUUAUGUUGGUAUUGCAUGUGGGACUGUGCCCCUCAGGGACAUCAUUUUCUGUAGUAAAUGCUUUAGUACAGGCAGCAUGCCCAGUUGCCUACGUCAAGGUGGGCAUUGACGUAGGCAAUGUAAGCAGGAGUGUUGAGGCAGGAGGUACAGCUGCCUACAUGGUCAGCAGAGAAGCUCUUCUGCUCUGCUAAAUAAAGUAGCACUAGUGAGAGAAGUCGCGUGCUGAUCCAUAAAAGGUGUAAGUGCAAAAUUGUAGAUCACUUCAGUCUCUGUUUUGGAGCAACCAACAGGACCUGAACCAAAUCCUGGGAGUGGCUGGGGAUACAUUGCUCCUGGGACCAUUCUCGGCAGGGAGUAUGAACAUGGCUGCACCAGUUGUGGCUUCCUAUCUCACACGGUCAUCCAGUGUAGUCCCAGCACUUUUCGUGCCACAUGUGCUCUUGGUGAUGUACAAACACCUUUUGUACGGAGGGCAAAGCUGUCUUCUUAUCCAGCACACCCCUAUGCUCCCUCAGGUAAAUGUCCCAGGAGUAACAAAGAAUGCCCUGUCCAGGAAUCAUUCAGGCUGACCUACAGCUCCCUGUAUCUUGUCUUGCCUUUAAAAAUAAAUGUAACAUUAACCAUCUUGCAGUCAGCAGGGCCUCUCCUGCUUGCCAUGAUUUUCUGUAGAUGAGAGACAGUGACCUUGCUGGCCAGCAAUGUUGAUGCUCGAGUGACCACCACCUGAUUCCAUGGGUGGGAAUGCCCACGAGACAUCUCAGUGCUCUCUACUGCUGCUUUCCCACUGUCCUUCUGUUCCCCCGGUGCUGAUAUGUGCAAAGACCAGACAGCACAAUUCACGUGUGCCAAUUAGUGCAAAAAAAGCUGCAGAUUACUUCAACCUUCACUGUGUUGUCUCAUCCACCUGUGGACCCAUGUUAUACCAAAUCUAUCUCUUUUUACCUUACUACCCUUUAUGUCCCUCAUUAAUUUUAGUUCCAGCUGGGCUUUAGCUUCUCCGAUUUUUCUCCUCAGAGCCUAAGCAAUACUUUUUUUUCCUUAUUCCUGCAUAUUCCCUCUCUGUAUUGUAGUUCACCUGGAUGGUCCUUACCUAGCUCAUGGGCUGUCAGCUGAAGCUUCCAUUGUGCUCCUGCACAAUGGUAUAGUUCUCUCAGUAGCUCUCAGUAAGUUCUCUCUAAAAACCAGUUAGCUCUUCUGGGGACUUUUCCCCUUCACAGCUGCUUCCCACAGGCUAUUUCCUGAAUAAGUCAAUCUGCCCACCCAGAGUCUUGUGGCUCACCUUCCUGGCUCUGCUACAUCUGUCACCUCAUGACUGCUGCAGCGUGUGACAAACCACCCACAGCCUGAGCAGUGCUGUGACCCCUCUCACCCCCAAUUCCCUGCUCCUCAGCAGAAAGCCAAGCCAGCAUGAACAAAUCAGUCAUGACUGCCCUGCUCUUGUGCCAGGAAAAUGUUACAAUUGCACUCUAAGAACAUCCUGGGUUGCCUGCCCAGUGUUGUGCUGCCCUUCCAACAGACAACCAGGAGGCUGAAAUCCCAAAUGAGGCUUAUUCCCCAGGGAAGGGCUCCAAGUUGGAGGCUUCAGCCCUUGCCUCCUCUGACUCUGCAGUCUGUAAUCCUCAUCUACCACAACAUCCCCCAGGUUGCUCCUUGCUGUGAUCUUGACCCAGAAACUCUCAGCAGGUCUGUCUCCAGCUUGAUACUGGGGCACUGCAUUUGUCAAGGAGCUCCUUAAUGUGAAGCAUAACACUUCCAGCUCUUCUCCACCUGUCCUUCCUAAAUACUGUGUAUCCAUCCAUGGCCAGAUUCCAGCUCUGUGUCCCUGACCACAGCCUGUGCAACUGUGCCUGGCAGUGCAGCUGCUCCUCCUGAUUGCCAGGCACUGGGCAUCACUGAGGGCACCUGAGGGAAGAUUCCGAGUGCCUGUCUUUAGAUGCAAGCAAAAAUGGGAUGGGCUCAAAUCUGCCCUAUUUAGGCAUAUAAUUUGUAGCUGUAGAGAGAAGCAGGUGCAGAAAUUUUGCAUCAUUAGUGAAAACAGCCUGGUACCUUGGAAAGCUGCUAGAAAGAGGUCCUGUGUGUUUAACUCCCAUUCUUUCACACAGAGCACCAUCAGAAGUGCCUCCUAUAUAUAUCCAGGGCCAUGUGUUGUUAGUGCCAUAUUGAAAGCAGUGUCCUCACUGAACUUACAGAUGCUUUUUAAAAGUCAGUGGCAAUGCUUUGUGACAAGUAUUAGUGACUGUUCAACAAUUCCUGCUGGCAGCCUUAACCUUCCCAGGGGAUUAGUACAUCCAUAUAGCAAAUGCUUUGAAGGCAUCAAAAAUCACUAUUAAUGCAAUUUUCAAGAGUCUUUAAUGUUAUACUUAAUAUUAUCACCUUGGCUGCUAUGCUGCUUGUCAGGGAAUUGUUAAAAUUUCUAGAGGAUGUUACAGAAAACAUUUCACAGAGGAUCUAUUCUAAAGUUCAGCAGAUUUUAAUACUUACAGCAGAACAAAAUAGAUUUAAAAAACCCAUCCAGCUACAUUGAUGGAAAUAGGACUUUGGAAGUACAGACAGUGAAAGAAAUAAGCGAGGAAACAAUUACAAAUGACAGUGUGCUGCAGCUACAUCCUCUUUCCCAACAAUGGAAAGUGCUGGUUUUCAAUUUCCACAUCCCCGUAUGAUGCCUGGCAUGUGACAGUCAACUUUGGGCACCCUCUGAACAUAUUUUGCCUUUGUACAGGGAAUUCACAUUGGUACAAUUUCCUUCUCAAAGUUGCUCAUCUCUCAUGGUACAGUCCUCUCAGAAAAUAUCCCACUAAACAAGUUUUGAUGGAUUCAUAGUCUGUCAGAUUCAAAGGGUCAACCAACUUAAUGAGUCAGUAACUGGAUUCUUCCUGGUCUGACUCCAGUUCCAUUUGCAAACUUGGAAAAGGCACUUCUGUACAGUGUUCUGCUCUGAGGCAAUGCAGUGUCAGGGCUGACUGCAAAACCAGCUUUUAACCUGCAGCUUAUAGGAAGUUCUUGGAACUUUAUUUUGAUGGAAAUAUUUUGCAUUGAUGAGGUGAGAGUUUGUAAAGUAGCGAAUUCAUGCCAAGUCAGAUGCUACUUUUCCAGGGAUGGAGAAUAGCAUUUAGUCAUAAAUAAGCCUGAAAGGCUUUAUGAUUUAUUUUUUAUUAAAGGAUAGACAACUGAUGUUCUGGUCUUAUAUAAUCCAUGGAAGGAUUUGGUUUAGAAGUACUGUCUACCUUUUACAGAAAUGGACUCUCAUAAAUAACAUUUGUUUAGGGAACAAUAGAAUGAAGGCGGUUUGGACCAAAAUUAAUGGGUCUGCAUGUAGCUCUCUUCUUCCUGUAUAUGUCUUCUGUGUACACCAGAUGCUAGGUGAGUGCUGGAAUAGAGCAUUACUGUGAUUCCAGAAGUCUGAACUGACUGAGAGAUGGCCUGUUGUUGUUAUUCUGGGCUUACCUGCAGCACUUGAGGAGGUUUCUGUUUGGCAGACAAACAGCUCUGUGCUGGUGUACAUCUGUUUGAAGAUACAGUGUAUGAAGAGCAUUCCUGGUAUCCCUGGAAUCUCAUGGGUAGUGUUGUGCCAAUCCUUGAUUUUCAUGUUGCCAGGUUUUGUAACUAAAUAAUUAUAACUUUCACAGGGUAAUAAUGACUUCAUAAGGAUUGUAAACUGGCAAAGCAUCUUUGUAAAAAAUCCAAAUUGUGCAAUGAUGAAGUCUACAUACCCCUCCACCCCACUCCCCAUUUUGCACUGCCACUGGCUUUUAGGAUUUGCUGGGCCCUGAAAUUUAGAGCAAUGCAUUUAAUGUGUAGCCUGACCCUCACACCUGGACACCUGCACAGAGGUGAGUGCACAGUUCUUUAUUUCAUGGCUACAGACGCAGCCAUCAGGGCACACUAGAUUUAGCAGCAUGUUUACACAUGUGUUGCUGCUGCCUGUACCAGAGACUCUGUUUCAAUCAAAUCUUGUUAUAUCUUCCUUUUGACAGCCAAAGGAAAGCCAGAAAGGAACUGUUCUCCUGCCAAAAACUGAGUCCCUGCUCUAAGGCAUAAAAAAGUUUUAGAUUUUAAAAACAGAAUUUGAAAAAUGUGUUUCUUACAAUUGCAUUUUCAAUAGAACUGAAGUGGGUUUGCUGGAAUUCAUAUUUAUAGAAAGAAAGAGAGUGAAAUUAUGCAAAAUGUGAGCUCAGAUGAUUACUCUGGUAAAGUUACCUGGGAUUGAAACAGCCUGUGAUAUGAUGUCUUAGCAACCUUAACUGUACUGCUGCCAGUCUGUCAGGCAAAGAAUGCUUUAUCUCCUGGUUUGUCAGCUUCUUUCUGCCAUCAACCAUCAUCCAUACCCUUUUCCAGUGCUAAGGCUGUAACUCUUUAACUCUUCCUACUUUUUAAGCAAUUUAUCUCUUAACCCUUGACCAGUAGGAUUAAAUGCAUGGUGUCCGUACAUUCCUUAUUAAUAAAUGAUGCUACUUUCCUUUUGAAAGGAUUUUACAGAGCAAGUCAAUAGUGAUGCCCCAGUUUACAGUUUCAGAUAACUUCAGUAGAAGGUAAAAGGCUAAAAUAAUCUCACUGCAGACCAGGACACUCAGGAAUAAAAGUACUAUAUAGCAGCAUCCAGUCACUGAGAGGUUGUGUAUAUGAGAGGCAACUUCUGUUGAGAUAUUGGAGAAAAAUCUAAUCAGGAUCUGUACAUAUAAAUGAGAACCCAAAUCAAACACUGGAAGAAUUACAAACACCUUAACUGCAUUGAGAGUUCAGAGUUAGGCACAUUCAGAUAAAUGAAUGACUGUCAAGAUAGAGAAAAUGGCUGGAGAAGGAAACUAUAGAAUAUAUCUGAAAGUGUCUUCUUUCCAAACAGACCAAAAAAACAUUGUAGUAGGAUGAAGUUUGGAACAAAAGGAAGUCUUAUAGCAAUGUACUGCUUAUUUCAGAUAGCUUCUAAACUCUUAUUUUCAGAUCCCGUAUUUCUCUUUUAGAGAAUUCCUUACAGUCUCAACAUUAUGUUACCCAUACAUAUAUGCAAACUCAACAAAGUGGUGUGAUCAUGGGUCAGGGUUUGUGUCUUCUCAGAGGAAGAAAUACUUUAGUAAAAAGUUGUACCCCACCAUGGCACACUGAUAAUGUAAAAUUCUCUGUACAGAAAAGGUUUCUGAACCUUGAGACUACAAGCAAAUUUAACUUGUAAGAAAAGGUUCUGUCAUUGCUUUUCCAAGGUUUCAGACAUUAUAUAAGCUGCUGUUAUAAACUGCAUUUGCUGAUCUUUUUUUUGCAUAUUCAGCUAGGGGAUUUCCCUCAGCCCAGCACAGUAGCAUUUCUCAACUCAUAUAGCAACUCUGUUUGGCAAAAUAUUGUGGGAAAAUAAUUAACUAUCAAAGCAGUAUCAGAGUUUAAGGCGUCCUAACAGUAACAAACAAGAAAUUCAUUUACGAACCUAAAAACAAAGGGGGUUGGACACUAUUGCUGAAAGCCACAUGAGGCUAAAGACCUCAUGCCCACCCCCACUGCACCAAGACGGGAAGAAUUCUUGGUUUGAGGAUUUGCUCCUUGUAUUACUCUUUUUUUUUUUUUUUUUUUUUGUGAAACUAGUUUUAUGUAAAUAAUAUAACCAUCAUUGAUAAAGUUGACCUUCUUUUGCCACAGAAUCACACCUUUUCUGCCUCACUUUCUGUCUAGCCCCAUGGCUCUUACAUUCUUGUCUGCACAUCAACCCAAUUUCCCUUAAGAAUUCAUCUUUUCUCUAUUGAACCUAUAAUCUUCUUGAGAGGUGAGAAAGAGAUUUCCUGGGUCCUGAGUCCUGGGCUGAAGCAAAUCCAUGAAUCUGGCCUCCUGCUUGCUGGGUGAGGCUACUGACCACCAAGCUAUCACACAACAGACCUACAGCAUCUCUCUGUGAAUCUUGGCUGGCCUGAAGUCCCCAGGAGAUUUCAGCACUCAUCCAGCCACUUCUGAGUGUCUGUAAAGACAGGAGCUUACUCCCCUGUUCUGGUCUGGCAGAGUUCUGGGCACAUGUACAAAGUCCAUGGUAAUUUUCUGGAAGACAUUUUCUGAUGUAUGCCAUGUAUCAACAACAUAAAAGCAGUAAAAUCCUGUGAUUAUUCCUGCUCUCUAUGAAACACAAAACUUUGAGUUUUUGAAAGCUGGAUAAGUUCUUUGAUUUACUUCACGAUAUCCCAGCAAACAAUUGUGCAAACACACCUUAAAGGAGAGAAUGAGACAGUGCUGUGAAUCUAAACAGUGUUUCAAUUAAAUAUUCAAUCUCUUGAAAGCACAACAUGAUACCUAAAAUCCACUCAAAUCCUUCUUUGAAUCUGAUGCCCUGUCUUAGAUUACUGAUCAUUCCUACUGCUUUUUGAAUUAAUGUGAAGUAAGUCAGCUUUCAUAAUGAAAUAUAGUAGUAUAGAGAGAUGAUCACAAUAAUGAAAAUCUACAAACCAAACAAAUCCUCCAUCUUUCUCAUGAAGUCAGUCCUCAGUGUAAUGCAUCUCACAGCCCACCUUUUUGUUGUCUUUCUUCAGGGAAUCCUUUUAAGAGAGAAGCUUGACAGCAUGAUCUGAUGAGAAAUUAUGUCUGUUUGUACUUGUGUUGGGCCAUCAAUUGAAAAAAAUAAAGGCUUUUUGU
ensembl:lncRNA